UACGUAGGGUGCGAGCGUUAAUCGGAAUUACUGGGCGUAAAGCGUGCGCAGGCGGUUUGUUAAGACAGAUGUGAAAUCCCCGGGCUUAACCUGGGAACUGCAUUUGUGACUGGCAAGCUAGAGUAUGGCAGAGGGGGGGUAGAAUUCCACGUGUAGCAGUGAAAUGCGUAGAGAUGUGGAGGAAUACCGAUGGCGAAGGCAGCCCCCUGGGCCAACACUGACGCUGAGGCACGAAAGCGUGGGGAGCAAACAGG
rnacentral:rRNA from 1 species